UACGUAGGGGGCAAGCGUUAUCCGGAUUUACUGGGUGUAAAGGGAGCGUAGACGGCGCGGCAAGUCUGAAGUGAAAGGCAGGGGCUUAACCCCUGAACUGCUUUGGAGACUGCCAUGCUAGAGUGCUGGAGAGGUAAGUGGAAUUCCUAGUGUAGCGGUGAAAUGCGUAGAUAUUAGGAGGAACACCAGUGGCGAAGGCGGCUUACUGGACAGUAACUGACGUUGAGGCUCGAAAGCGUGGGGAGCAAACAGG
rnacentral:rRNA from 1 species